rnacentral:rRNA from 1 species
AUGGGCGGCGUACUUCAAGCGCCGCCAGGAGCAGAGCCUGGCGUCCACCAACGGGCGCCGGUGGUGGGUGGCAUGAAGAACAGUGAGGGUCGCCGCGUGUGGUGGGGCGUCCACGGCCGCACGCUCGACGGCGUGUUGGCGCACCUUAAGGGAGGCAACGAGCCGCCAUUGACAUACCCUCCCCCGGCGGCCCAGGCCUCGGCCCGCCGCCGACGCGCCGGGCAAUGGCUGCCCAGGAGGUUCGUCUCUUCAUCGUCUUCCUCCUCCUCGUCGCGAUCUUUUUCCCACUCCUCCGGCUCUCCGGCGCUGCUCGGCGUCAAGACCGAGCCCGCGGCAGAGACGCCGCUCGGCCGGCGCACUCGCAGCGCCGGCAUCGUCAUCAACGAAGGCGGCCGGCGCGCCCCCUCGUCGGCUCCUCCGCGCUCCUCCUCGCUGGUGAAAACGGAGCCGGGGCUCCCCGCCGUGAAAACGGAGCCCGGCGAGGUGGCGCUCGACGACGAUGCGGCCCUGAAAUGGGCGCGCAAGGACUUCCUCAGGAUGGAGAGGGAGUGCCAGGUCGCCGCACUGCGGCGCUUCGAGCAGCGCCGCCGGGGCCGCGAAGAAGGAGGAGUCGUCGUCCUCGACGACAGCGACGACGACGCGCCGCCGUCGCCGGCACCUGUCCACCAUGGCGGCGCCGGGCAGGGGUGCAGCAGGAACGGCCGCGUCAAGGAGGAGAAGGUUGCCGCCGACGACGGCGGCGAGGACGGCGGCGACGACGGCGACUACUCCGCGUUUAGCGAAUUCUUUUUUAAGUUUUAUUUGCUAUGUAAACGCCUCGCGAACAUGUAA